rnacentral:rRNA from 1 species
GUUAAGGCGGGACGAAAGAAACUAACUAGGAUUCCCUCAGUAGCUGCGAGCGAACAGGGAAGAGCCCAGCACCGAAUCCCGCGGCCGAUACCGGGCGCCGGGAAAUGUGGUGUUAGGGAGGAUCCGUUUAUCCCGAGGUCGUGCGGCGCGUCCAAGUCCUUCUUGAACGGGGCCACAGCCCACAGAGGGUGCCAGGCCCGUAGCGACCGACGCCGAUCGCGGGAGGAUCUCUCCUCAGAGUCGGGUUGCUUGAGAGUGCAGCCCUAAGCGGGUGGUAAACUCCAUCUAAGGCUAAAUACGACCACGAGACCGAUAGCGAACAAGUACCGUGAGGGAAAGUUGAAAAGCACUUUGAAGAGAGAGUUCAAGAGUACGUGAAACCGUUCAGGGGUAAACCUGAGAAACCCGAAAGGUCGAAGGGGGAAAUUCAUUCGCGUUUCGGAGUCGCAGCGAGGCGGUCGCGCGACGAACGGCGUACGCGUCGUUCGCGCCUUCCGUUUCGUCUUAUCGUGCGGCUUCGAACGCGUGCACUUUUCCCCUAGUAGGACGUCGCGAUCCGUCGGGCGUCGGUCUAAGGUUCCACGGUGGAGCCCGGGCGUGCGUCUCAACCGCGUCACGCUCGGACCCGAGGUACUUACCCGGCCGACUCGCUCGACGGUAUACAGAUGGCGCGGGGCCGCUACUUCAAAUAGUUAGCGUCCGGCCCGCGGCAAGCGCGUUCGCGUCGACGGCGAUCGGACCCGGUGCCGAUCCCGUCGCCG